rnacentral:rRNA from 1 species
CCUACGGGUGGCAGCAGUGGGGAAUAUUGGGCAAUGGGCGCAAGCCUGACCCAGCAACGCCGCGUGAAGGAAGAAGGCUUUCGGGUUGUAAACUUCCUUUCUCAGGGACGAAGCAAGUGACGGUACCUGAGGAAUAAGCCACGGCUAACUACGUGCCAGCAGCCGCGGUAAUACGUAGGUGGCAAGCGUUAUCCGGAUUUACUGGGUGUAAAGGGCGUGUAGGCGGGACUGCAAGUCAGAUGUGAAAACCACGGGCGCAACCUGUGGCCUGCAUUUGAAACUGUAGUUCUUGAGUACUGGAGAGGCAGACGGAAUUCCUAGUGUAGCGGUGAAAUGCGUAGAUAUUAGGAGGAACACCAGUGGCGAAGGCGGUCUGCUGGACAGCAACUGACGCUGAGGCGCGAAAGCGUGGGGAGCAAACAGGAUUAGAUACCCUGGUGUC